GGAGAGGUGGCAGAGUGGUCGAUUGCAGCGGUCUUGAAAACCGCCGUACUGAGAGGUACCCGGGGUUCGAAUCCCUGUCUCUCCG
rnacentral:tRNA from 1 species